rnacentral:rRNA from 1 species
UCUUGCGCAAUGGGCGAAAGCCUGACGCAGCGACGCCGCGUGGGGGAUGAAGGCCUUCGGGUUGUAAACCCCUUUCAGGAGGGAAGAUGGGACGGGCAACCGUUCGGACGGUACCUUCAGAAGCAGCCACGGCUAACUCUGUGCCAGCAGCCGCGGUAAGACAGAGGUGGCAAGCGUUGUUCGGAUUUACUGGGCGUAAAGGGUGCGUAGGUGGUUAGGUAAGACCUGCGGGAAAGACCUGGGCUUAACCCAGGAAGGUCGUAGGUGACUGCCUGGCUAGAGGGCGGGAGAGGAGAGCGGAAUUCCCGGUGUAGCGGUGAAAUGCGUAGAGAUCGGGAGGAAGGCCGGUGGCGAAGGCGGCUCUCUGGAACGUUCAUGACACUGAGCACGAAA